UAAACAAGCCUUCAAAGAGAUCGCGAGCCCAUGCAAUGGUGUGCUCAAUACGGUUAGGAAAGUUCUUCAAAGUACAGAUAGGAAAUGACUUUUCAGGAGGGUCUUGGGAUGAUCCGUACGACUCUGUAAGAUGAGGUACAACAACUUGCGUAUUACCCUUAGUACCCAAAGUACCAGACUCUAAUAAUGGCUUUUCGAAAAAUACACAACGGCGGUCAACAUACAUUCGAGCUUCGACGUUAUCCAAAGCAUUCGUGACUAAAGAUAACUUUUCAAAGAAUUCAUCGCCAAAUAUGCCUUCGCUUUCUGGUCCAACACGUUCUUGAUAUGAAGUUAUUUUACCAGUCAAUGAAGGAUUCAUGAUUGAAACAGCGGUAGAAGCACAUUCGGACUUCAGCUUUCCGACGUCACGAGGACGAAAGAGAAAUUGACGAUUCAAAUUCGAUUUUUCAAUGGAGUCCAUAUCAGUAACAGAAAUAUGACCACUUUCACCAGUAGCGACACCCAUCAUAGCCCAGUUUUUCAGCAUUUCACAUCCAAUAGCGCCAGCACCAACCAAAAACGUACUCAAAGAAGCUAUUUUCUCUUGAAAUUCCGAACCGAAAACAGCGAUUUGCCCAUCGUAUCGACAGCCACGAGGUUUACAAGUUUCUUCACUGAUCGUUACAGAAGAUGGCAAGCUUUCUAAGGAGUCAAAAUAGAAGUAUUGCUUCAAUGGGUAAAAUUUACUGGUGGUAGCUUUCAACACUUCCUGUGCUACAGCACCGCCCAAAAACGCGGACAUUGCAACCAAAUCACCUCUUGCCUGGUAUGAAAUUUCCUUAAUUAGUUUUUCAUCGAGUUCAACAUCAAAUUGAAGUGUGCUUGCAAUUUUCUUACAAAAUUCGAAAAAUUCAGCUGCAUCAAUGUCGUUACGGGGUCGAGGCAAUGAACCUUCAUGCGCAUCGGCAAAUGCUGAAAGGGCCUGGAAAGCAAUGUGGUAUUGUGGAGGUCUCAUCAUUUUACCAAAGUCAGGAUAUACAUAUUCAGGGUCCUUGAGCGAUUCGCGGAGAGAUUUGAAAGAUAUUUUGGUUGGAACUUUAACUUGGGUAAAGACACCAUUGUAACCGGCACUUCCUAAAUCUUUAACAGAUCCGAUAGAAAAGGUAUAUGGACCUUUCACUUCAACUUUACGAGGAGUGCCAUCAUUUAAACCAGGCAUACCCUUCACUUCGGUAAAUUUAACAAAAUCACCAU